AAGUCGCUGUAGGGGUGGCUGGGUAGGGCCAGACUGGGCGGCUGGCUAGGGAGGAUGGGGUCAGGGGUGGCCGGCUAGCAGGUGGUCCUUAGCAGGUGCCGGGGCCCCUCUCACCGGAAGUCGCUGUAGGGGUGGCUGGGUAGGGCAGACUGGGCGGCUGGCUAGGGAGGAUGGGGUCGGGGUGGCCGGCUAGCAGGUGGUCCUUAGCAGGUGCCGGGGCCCCUCUCACCGGAAGUCGCUGUAGGGGUGGAUGAUCCAGAACCCGGC